AGGUAAGUUUGUCAAGUCAGUCAGACUUGGAAAAAAGUUUUUUAACGAAUAUUUUGUAAUGCCAGUUUUGCAAAAGGUUUCGCAAGAUAAUAAAUGUUAAUAGUAACGUCUGUUUAGCAUGUUUUUCUAUAAUUUUGAAGAAAUGUUAUCUAAAAUUUCCUUUGAUCCAAGCCGGCUAGUGCUGAUGUGGCAGGCAUGGCGGAUUUUGUUAUUCAGAAUUUCCUCUGCAAACAUAAUAAAACGUUUGAAAUAUUAAUAAAAGGUGUUUUGCUAAUCAGUAGUACAGCAUUAAAAUGAAGUCCUCCUCAGCAGGAUGGGGCCCACAGUGGCUCCUUAAAAUGUCACCUGACAAACAGGACACCCUUCUGAAAAUGUUGGUCCUGUCCAUUGCAGCCAUAUUAUCAUUUUCAACAAGGCUGUUUUCAGUUUUACGAUUUGAAAGUGUUAUCCACGAGUUUGAUCCCUACUUUAACUACCGCACCACUAGAUACCUGACUGAGGAAGGAUUCUAUAGCUUCCACAACUGGUUUGAUGAUAGAGCAUGGUAUCCCCUGGGUCGUAUCAUUGGAGGAACAAUCUACCCUGGUUUAAUGGUUACAUCUGCUGUGUUUUACCAUGCUUUGUGGUUCUUCAACAUCACCAUUGAUAUCAGAAAUGUGUGUGUAUUCCUGGCUCCAAUGUUUUCAAGUUUCACUACACUUGUCACUUACUGGUUUACCAAGGAACUCAAGGAUGCUGGUGCCGGGCUUGUAGCUGCUGCUAUGAUCGCCAUUGUACCUGGAUACAUCUCCCGUUCCGUGGCUGGGUCUUAUGAUAAUGAAGGAAUUGCCAUCUUCUGCAUGCUGCUGACAUAUGCUCUGUGGAUUAAGUCCGUCAAAACUGGGUCACUCUUCUGGUCCUGUUUGUGUGCCCUGGCCUACUUUUACAUGGUUUCCUCAUGGGGAGGUUAUGUUUUCCUGAUCAACUUGAUUCCUCUACACGUCCUGGCCCUUAUGUUGACCGGCAGAUUCUCUCACAGGAUAUACGUGGCUUAUUCUGCUGUGUACUGCAUUGGAACCAUCCUGUCCAUGCAGAUCUCCUUUGUUGGCUUCCAACCUGUUCAGUCCAGUGAACAUAUGGCUGCCCUGGGAGUUUUUGGACUUUGCCAGAUGCAUGCCUUCAUUGAUUACGUGAGAUCCAAGCUGAGUGUUGAACAGUUCAAUAUCUUGUUCAGGAGCAUUGUCCUGAUGGGUGCUGUUGUCAGUCUGUCUGUGGCUGCUAUUGGAACCGCCACUGGCAAAAUCUCUCCCUGGACCGGGCGUUUCUACUCCCUGUUGGACCCCUCCUAUGCCAAGAACAAUAUCCCCAUUAUUGCCUCGGUAUCAGAACACCAGCCUACUACCUGGAGCUCCUUCUACUUUGACUUACAAAUGCUUACCAUCAUGUUCCCAGCUGGACUGUAUUUCUGCUUUAACCGUCUGACAGACGCUAACAUCUUCAUCAUCAUGUACGGUGUCACCAGCAUCUACUUUGCUGGUGUCAUGGUCCGUUUGAUGUUGGUCCUGGCUCCAGUCAUGUGUAUCCUGUCUGGUAUCGGAGUUUCCUCCACUCUGAACACUUACAUGAAGAACCUUGAUGUCUCCCGAAAGGACAAAAAGACAUCCAAAAAGAAUGUGGAUCACACUUACCCCUUCAAGAAUGAGGUAGCGACUGGUGUUGUGUUCUUGGUGACAGCCUUUCUGAUCACCUACACCUUCCACUGUACCUGGGUCACCUCAGAGGCGUACUCCAGCCCCUCUAUUGUUCUGUCUGCGCGGGCCGGGGACGGAGGCAGGAUCAUCUUUGACGACUUCAGAGAGGCUUACUAUUGGCUCCGACACAACACUCCAGAGGUAGAGGACCAUUGGGAAAACUCAAAACCCAGAGUAGAAUUAUACUGCUCAAAAUAUGUUAAUUUGUAUGAGAAAAGUUUAACAUUAUGAACUAGCUAAGCAAUUUAAGACUAAAAUUGAACAAAAAUUAUUUUUACACGUAUGACUAGGAAUAAACAGAGGAAUCUUUACGCAUAUGAUUUAUGAAUUGUAUAAAUAUUGUUCGCUUGUAUUCACUGUGCUUUUUGGAACUUUACAGGAUGCAAAAGUGAUGUCAUGGUGGGAUUAUGGGUACCAAAUAACAGCAAUGGCAAAUAGAACUAUUCUAGUAGAUAACAACACUUGGAAUAAUACACACAUAUCCCGAGUAGGACAGGCUAUGGCAUCAACAGAAGACAAAGCCUAUGAAAUUAUGAGAGAACUAGAUGUCAAUUAUGUAUUGGUUAUAUUUGGAGGACUAACUGGGUAUUCCUCCGAUGAUAUUAAUAAGUUUUUGUGGAUGGUUCGUAUUGGGGGCAGCACAGACCGAGGAGCACACAUAAAAGAGGCCGAUUACUACACCCCACAAGGAGAGUUUAGGAUCGAUAAAGAGGGGUCACCCACCCUCCUCAACUGUCUGAUGUACAAGAUGUGCUACUACAGAUUUGGGGAAGUUUACACAGAGGGAGGAAAACCCACAGGAUAUGACAGAGUUAGAAAUGCAGAAAUAGGAAACAAAAAUUUUGAUCUGGAUGUUUUAGAAGAAGCAUACACCACAGAACAUUGGCUUGUUCGUAUUUAUAAAGUUAAAGAUUUAGAUAACAGAGGGGCAUAAUUCUAUAUCAGAGACUUAUCAUUCAUUUUUUUUAAAAAAAUACAUUACAUAUUGUUGUUUGGAUUUUUUACAAACAUUGUCAUUUUGUAAUGUUUAUACAUUAUGUUUUAGAUAUACUAAAAAAAAUAUUUACAAAGAAAACUUGUCCAUAGUUGUCAACCAGAUUACAUUUGUUUGCAAAAAGAAAUAAUACCACUUCAGCUGUUGUGAUGUUUAUUAAUGAUUCACAGUACAUGACAAGACAAUAAAUGACAUACAAAACUG
rnacentral:misc_RNA from 1 species